GACGAACGCUGGCGGCGUGCUUAACACAUGCAAGUCGAACGGAAAGGCCCUGCUUUUGUGGGGUGCUCGAGUGGCGAACGGGUGAGUAACACGUGAGUAACCUGCCCUUGACUUUGGGAUAACUUCAGGAAACUGGGGCUAAUACCGGAUAGGAGCUCCUGCUGCAUGGUGGGGGUUGGAAAGUUUCGGCGGUUGGGGAUGGACUCGCGGCUUAUCAGCUUGUUGGUGGGGUAGUGGCUUACCAAGGCUUUGACGGGUAGCCGGCCUGAGAGGGUGACCGGCCACAUUGGGACUGAGAUACGGCCCAGACUCCUACGGGAGGCAGCAGUGGGGAAUAUUGCACAAUGGGCGGAAGCCUGAUGCAGCAACGCCGCGUGCGGGAUGACGGCCUUCGGGUUGUAAACCGCUUUCGCCUGUGACGAAGCGUGAGUGACGGUAAUGGGUAAAGAAGCACCGGCUAACUACGUGCCAGCAGCCGCGGUGAUACGUAGGGUGCGAGCGUUGUCCGGAUUUAUUGGGCGUAAAGGGCUCGUAGGUGGUUGAUCGCGUCGGAAGUGUAAUCUUGGGGCUUAACCCUGAGCGUGCUUUCGAUACGGGUUGACUUGAGGAAGGUAGGGGAGAAUGGAAUUCCUGGUGGAGCGGUGGAAUGCGCAGAUAUCAGGAGGAACACCAGUGGCGAAGGCGGUUCUCUGGGCCUUUCCUGACGCUGAGGAGCGAAAGCGUGGGGAGCGAACAGGCUUAGAUACCCUGGUAGUCCACGCUGUAAACGGUGGGUACUAGGUGUGGGGUCCAUUCCACGGGUUCCGUGCCGUAGCUAACGCUUUAAGUACCCCGCCUGGGGAGUACGGCCGCAAGGCUAAAACUCAAAGGAAUUGACGGGGCCCCGCACAAGCGGCGGAGCAUGCGGAUUAAUUCGAUGCAACGCGUAGAACCUUACCUGGGUUUGACAUGGAUCGGGAGUGCUCAGAGAUGGGUGUGCCUCUUUUGGGGUCGGUUCACAGGUGGUGCAUGGCUGUCGUCAGCUCGUGUCGUGAGAUGUUGGGUUAAGUCCCGCAACGAGCGCAACCCUUGUUCACUGUUGCCAGCACGUUAUGGUGGGGACUCAGUGGAGACCGCCGGGGUCAACUCGGAGGAAGGUGGGGAUGACGUCAAGUCAUCAUGCCCCUUAUGUCCAGGGCUUCACGCAUGCUACAAUGGCUGGUACAGAGAGUGGCGAGCCUGUGAGGGUGAGCGAAUCUCGGAAAGUCGGUCUCAGUUCGGAUUGGGGUCUGCAACUCGACCUCAUGAAGUCGGAGUCGCUAGUAAUCGCAGAUCAGCAACGCUGCGGUGAAUACGUUCCCGGGGCU
rnacentral:rRNA from 1 species